AGCGAACGCUGGCGGCAGGCCUAACACAUGCAAGUCGAACGAACUCUUCGGAGUUAGUGGCGGACGGGCGAGUAACACGUGGGAACGUGCCCUUUGGUUCGGAAUAACUCAGGGAAACUUGUGCUAAUACCGAAUGUGCCCUUCGGGGGAAAGAUUUAUCGCCAUUAGAGCGGCCCGCGUCUGAUUAGCUAGUUGGUGAGGUAACGGCUCACCAAGGCGACGAUCAGUAGCUGGUCUGAGAGGAUGACCAGCCACACUGGGACUGAGACACGGCCCAGACUUCUACGGGAGGCAGCAGUGGGGAAUCUUGCGCAAUGGGCGAAAGCCUGACGCAGCCAUGCCGCGUGAAUGAUGAAGGUCUUAGGAUUGUAAAAUUCUUUCACCGGGGACGAUAAUGACGGUACCCGGAGAAGAAGCCCCGGCUAACUUCGUG
rnacentral:rRNA from 1 species